GACGAACGCUGGCGGCGUGCUUAACACAUGCAAGUCGAACGGUAAGGCCCUUCGGGGUACACGAGUGGCGAACGGGUGAGUAACACGUGGGUGAUUUGCCCUGCACUUCGGGAUAAGCCUGGGAAACUGGGUCUAAUACCGGAUAGGACCACUGCCUGCAUGGGUGGUGGUGGAAAGCUUUUGCGGUGUGGGAUGGGCCCGCGGCCUAUCAGCUUGUUGGUGGGGUGAUGGCCUACCAAGGCGACGACGGGUAGCCGGCCUGAGAGGGUGACCGGCCACACUGGGGCUGAGAUACGGCCCAGACUCCUACGGGAGGCAGCAGUGGGGAAUAUUGCACAAUGGGCGCAAGCCUGAUGCAGCGACGCCGCGUGAGGGAUGACGGCCUUCGGGUUGUAAACCUCUUUCAGCACCGACGAAGCGCAAGUGACGGUAGGUGCAGAAGAAGGACCGGCCAACUACGUGCAGCCGCCGCCGUAA
rnacentral:rRNA from 1 species